AACAUGAUGAUGACAACCCGCCAUCCACAACGAACAAACGAACGGCCAUUGUGAUUUUAUAUUAAUUAUAAACCGGCUUGGUUAUUAUGAUUAUAUAUUUUAUUAUGAAUAUAUAUUUUAUUUAAUAAUAGUUAGAUGAUCUGCGGUGCUGCUAUUAGUGUUUUUAGUUUUUCUGUUGUUCCAUUGUGUUUUAUGGUAACAAUGGCAUUUGUGGGAGUAGAAUUUUCCGAAAAUGGUUUAAUAGGUUUGGUUCAUUCUUCCUGGUUCACCCCUUUGAAGCAGAAUGUUUUGUGGCCACCAUACAGAACAAGUGCUGCUUUCAAUAGGGCUCUCACACUAUGUGAAGAACCAAAUGAACAUAAUUGGAAGUUGUCUGGAGUAAAAAGAAUAUUUUUUGAAUGUGAUGAUCUCAACAAGGCACAAAAAAAACUGAAGAAAUGCGAAUAUAAUUCGGACAACCUUACUUCAGAUUGUGAGGGAGAGCGAACUAGGAGAAAAUUCGUUAGUAGAAGGAUUUUGAGUGACAGUGAAAGUGAAGGAGAAACAGUAUCAAAUCUGAUAAGGCCUCCAUCUUUCCAAAAAUAUAUUUCUGAGUGGCUCUGGUAAGUCAGCUUCUAGGCCGAUUGUGAAACCAAAUUCACAAAUAUCUCCACCAACUUCCACUAGACAAAGUACAGAAUUGCUUUCUCAAACACUUGGCGGAUCACAUUCGCAAUCAAUUCAAACAACUUCCAAUAUACAGUCUGAAGAGAAUACAGAUAGAAUUCAUCCAAAAAAUUUAGAGAAAAUUUUUCUGGAAUUGAAAAAGUUGAGAGAAGAGGUCAAGGAAGUAAAGACUCUAUUAAAAAACUCUCGAAGUUCAAUAGACGAUCAAAGGAGGUUUGAAAAUUUGGAACAAUAUUUGAAAUCCGAAGAAAAAUUUAAUGAUUUGGCAUCCUACCUUUCCUCAAUUGGAGGAAAUGGCACCACAGCUCAUGUUAAUAGAAUCAUGAGACUACUCUUGACCAACGGUUUGGCCAAAUUGUAUAAUUUUGCUGGGCAGAGAAACAAUAAAGUGCCAUUUUCCAACACUUUAGUGAAAUCUGUCAUCAUUCGUGCCAUACAAAUCAAAACUCCCUUGACAUCUCAAGCAGAUGUGGAAAAUGCUAUCAAAAUAUGGCUAAAACAUGCCAAACAACGUGAGCAAAAAAGAAAUGCUGGUGCUCUGGUUUGAUUGUAUUAUCAACUACUUUUUAUGAAUUAUUAGCAUAUAUUUUUAUUUUUAAAAAUGUCAAAACGUAAGUUGAAAGAAUUGGUUGGUUCAAGACAAAAGUGUAGAAGGGCUUUACAAGCGACCAAACAAGAAUUUCAAUAUAUGUCAAGAACCUCUGUUAACCCUGGACGGGGUGCAGAAAAUGUUGAUGAAACAAAUGACUGCUUUUUCUUCAAUGAUACUAUUAGCAGCAACACUAGUAGUACUAGUACUAGUACAUCAUCUGUUAAAGUUGAUAAAUCAAUCAGUUCUGAUAACAAUGAUUCAUUAUGCACAGAAACUUCUAUUGCUAAUGAUUUGGCUGAAUGGGCUCUAAAACAUAAAAUUUCACUUUCUGCUUUGACACACCUACUUCAUUUGCUUCAUCCUUACCACCCUGAACUUCCUUUAGACAGUCAUACCUUGUUAUCAACCCCAAAAUUUACACCAAUUGUUGAUAUAAAAUCUGGUCAGUUCUGUUAUUUUGGAUUGAGGAGUGCUCUUUCUAAGCUUAUUUCAAAUGAUACUUGUGUAGACAAAAUUCAAAUUAGUUUUAAUGUUGAUGGCAUUCCACUCUUCAAAAGUUCAAAAAUGCAGUUUUGGCCUAUUUUGGGAUUAAUAAAAAAUAUUUCUGGUAGUAGACCUUUUGCAAUUUCCAUCUUUUGUGGAAAAAAUAAACCACAUCCUUUAAAUACAUUUCUUCAUCCAUUCAUAGUAGAAUUGAAAGAUUUAUUGCAAAAUGGUUUUGUUAUUUGUAACAAACACUUCACAUUAGAGGUACAUAGUUUUGUGUGCGAUGCACCUGCAAGGGCCUAUCUAAAAGGCACUAAAUUCCACUCAGGAUAUUCCUCUUGUGAUAGAUGCACAAUUCACGGAGAAUAUUAUAAACACAAGGUAGUUUUCAAUGGUUUAAAUGGUCAGAAACGCACGAAUGAAUCUUUUCGCUUACAAUUUGAUGAUGAGCAUCAUAUCUCGCAGACUAGUUUUCAUGAAUUACCAAUUGAUCUAAUUAGUAGUUAGAAAGCUACUGAAUACUUGGAUUGCAGGAUCCUUGAAGGUUAGAUUACAACAUCGGAGAGUUAAAAUGAUUUCAGAACGAUUGCUCAACCUUAAAAAUAUGAUACCAGUAGAAUUCAAUCGAAAACCCCGUUUGCUUAAUGAACUAAAUUAUUGGAAAGCUACUGAAUAUAGAAUGUUUUUAGUGUACUUAGGUCCUUUGGUUCUUAAAGAUAUUGUGGAUUUAGCUAUAUAUGAAAACUUUCUUGCUCUUCAUUUUUCUGUUUCAAUAUUGUUAUCACAGAGCCAUAUUGAAAAAUUUAAAAUCCCUUUUGUGAGAAAUAUCAUAAAUGUAUUUAUCAAACAUUCAAAAUCUUUGUAUGGUUUGGAGUUCAUGGUUUAUAAUGUACACUUAAUGUCACAUCUUUGUGAUGAUGUAGAUUUAUUAGGCAAAUUGGACAAUUUUUCGACUUUUCCGUUUGAAAAUUAUUUGGGAGAGAUAAAAUCAUUAAUAAAAUCUCCAACCAAUCCCCUACAACAAGUUCAUCGACGACUUGUUGAAAAGGAUUUUUUAAUUUCACAGCCAGUAUCUAAUAUUACGUAAAAAUUGGAAAGUAAACAUACAUUGGGACCACUUAUUUUUGACGAAAAUUUGAAAUGGAAUCAACAGUUUCAUAAAUUGAGAUUACCAGGCAUAACAUUAUCAGCAUGUAAUCAUUCUAAGGCGGAUAGUUAUGUUUUAAUUGGGAAUAAAAUAGUUGAAAUUCAUAAUAUAGUAAAAUCUGCUGACAGUCAAAUAUAUCUUAUUGGCAAAGAGUUUCUUGGCUAUUCAGACUUAUAUACAUAUCCAUAUCCUUCCAGCAAUUUAAAUAUUUUCAUAGUUGAAAAUCUCACAGAUCUCAAAAUAUGGCCUGUUGGGAAAAUAACUGCCAAAUGUAUUGUUCUUGAAUUAAGGGGUUCUCUAAUGGCGAUGCCUAUUAUUCAUAGCCAAUUUUAGGUUCUUUUUUCCAAUUUUUCAUGCAAAUAGAGCAGUCAUUUGUUUCACAGGACGUUUUGACAUUUUAAAAUAUUACUUUCAUAAUAAAUAAACCAUAUACUAUUCAGUAUUUCUAAUUUGAACAGAUAUUACAAUACAUUGUUAAUUUGUGUUAUGAAAACUGGAAUUUUAAGUUUCUUUUGCAGUUAUAUCAUGUUUUUCAUGCUAUUGAUAAAUAAAUUUUAUCAAAAUAA